GAUGAACGCUGGCGGCGUGCCUAAUACAUGCAAGUCGAGCGAACAGACGAGGAGCUUGAUCCUCUGACGUUAGCGGCGGACGGGUGAGUAACACGUGGAUAACCUACCUAUAAGACUGGGAUAACUUCGGGACACCGGAGCUAAUACCGGCUAACAUCUUAAAACGGCUGGUUACAUAGUGAAAGCCGGCUUUGCUGUUACUUAUAGACUGAUCAGCGACGUAUUAGCUAGUUGGUAAGGUAACGGCUUACCAAGGCGACGAUGCGUAGCCGACCUGAGAGGAUGAUCGGCCACACUGGGACUGAGACACGGUCCAGACUCCUACGGGAGGCAGCAGUAGGGAAUCUUCCGCAAUGGGCGAAAGCCUGACGGAGCAACGCCGCGUGAGUGAUGAAGGUCUUCGGAUCGUAAAGCUCUGUUGUUAGGAAAGAACAAAUGGGUAAUUAACUAGUCGCGUCUUGACGGUACCGGAUCAGAAAGCCACGGCUAACUACGUG
rnacentral:rRNA from 1 species